UGGUGGAGUGAUUUGUCUGGUUAAUUCCGUUAACGAACGAGACCUCGACCUGCUAAAUAGUUCGGGUAAUCCUCCGGGAUUGCUGCGUGACUUCUUAGAGGGACUAUCGGUGUGUAGCCGAUGGAAGUUCGAGGCAAUAACA
rnacentral:rRNA from 1 species